GACGAACGCUGGCGGCGUGCUUAACACAUGCAAGUCGAACGGAAAGGCCCUGCUUUUGUGGGGUGCUCGAGUGGCGAACGGGUGAGUAACACGUGAGUAACCUGCCCUUGACUUUGGGAUAACUUCAGGAAACUGGGGCUAAUACCGGAUAGGAGCUCCUGCUGCAUGGUGGGGGUUGGAAAGUUUCGGCGGUUGGGGAUGGACUGGCGGCGUAUGAGCUUGUUGGUGGGGUAGUGGCUUACCAAGGCGUCGACGGGUAGACGGCCUGAGAGGGUGACCAGCCACACGGGAACUGAGGCACGGUCCAGACUACUACGGGAGGCAGCAGUGGGGAAUAGUGGACAAUGGGCGGAAGCCUGAUCCAGCCAUACCGCGUGGGUGAAGAAGGCCUUCGGGUUGUAAAGCCCUGUUGUUGGGAAAGAAAAGCAGCAGGUUAAUACCCCGCUGUUCUGACGGUACCCAAAGAAUAAGCACCGGCUAACUUCGUG
rnacentral:rRNA from 1 species